rnacentral:rRNA from 1 species
GAUGAACGCUGGCGGCAUGCCUUACACAUGCAAGUCGAACGGCAGCAUGGAGAGCUUGCUCUCUGAUGGCGAGUGGCGAACGGGUGAGUAAUGCAUCGGAACGUACCGUGUAAUGGGGGAUAACGUAGCGAAAGUUACGCUAAUACCGCAUACGACCUGAGGGUGAAAGCAGGGGAUGGCAAGACCUUGCGUUAUACGAGCGGCCGAUGUCAGAUUAGCUAGUUGGUGAGGUAAAGGCUCACCAAGGCGACGAUCUGUAGCGGGUCUGAGCGGAUGGUCCGCCACACUGUGACUGAGACACGGCCCAGACUCCUACGGGAGGCAGCAGUGGGGAAUGUUGGACAAUGGGGGCAACCCUGAUCCAGCCAUGCCGCGUGAGUGAAGAAGGCCUUCGGGUUGUAAAGCUCUUUCGGCCGGGAAGAAAUCGCACAGGCUAAUACUCUGUGUGGAUGACGGUACCGGCAUAAGAAGCACCGGCUAACUACGUGCCAGCCGCCGCAGUAA